GACGAACGCUGGCGGCGUGCCUAAUACAUGCAAGUAGAACGCACAGUUUAUACCGUAGCUUGCUACACCAUAAACUGUGAGUUGCGUACGGGGGAGGAACGCGUAGGUAACCUGCCUGGUAGCGGGGGAUAACUAGUGGAAACGAUAGCUAAUACCGCAUAAUAUUGAUUAUGGCAUGAUAAUUGAUUGAAAGAGGCGAUUGCAUCACUACCAGUUGGACUUGCGUUGUGUUAGCUAGUAGGUGAGGUAACGGCUCACCUAGGCGACGAUACAGAGCCGAACUGCGAGGGUGGUCGGCCCCCCUGGGACUGAGACACGGCCCAGACUCCUACGGGAGGCAGCAGUAGGGCAUCUUCGGCAAUGGACGAAAGUCUGACCGCGCAACGCCGCGUGCGUGAAGAAGGUUUUCGGGUCGUGAAGCUCUGUUGUCAGGGAAGAACGGGUGUGAGAGUGGAAAGUUCACACUGUGACGGUAUCUUACCAGAAAGCGACGGCUAACUACGUG
rnacentral:rRNA from 1 species